rnacentral:rRNA from 1 species
UGGGGAAUAUUGCGCAAUGGGGGGAACCCUGACGCAGCCAUGCCGCGUGAAUGAAGAAGGCCUUCGGGUUGUAAAGUUCUUUCGGUAUUGAGGAAGGUUGAUGUGUUAAUAGCACAUCAAAUUGACGUUAAAUACAGAAGAAGCACCGGCUAACUCCGUGCCAGCAGCCGCGGUAAUACGGAGGGUGCGAGCGUUAAUCGGAAUAACUGGGCGUAAAGGGCACGCAGGCGGUUAUUUAAGUGAGGUGUGAAAGCCCUGGGCUUAACCUAGGAAUUGCAUUUCAGACUGGGUAACUAGAGUACUUUAGGGAGGGGUAGAAUUCCACGUGUAGCGGUGAAAUGCGUAGAGAUGUGGAGGAAUACCGAAGGCGAAGGCAGCCCCUUGGGAAUGUACUGACGCUCAUGUGCGAAAGCGUGGGGAGCAAACAGGAUUAGAUACCCUGGUAGUCCACGCUGUAAACGCUGUCGAUUUGGGGAUUGGGCUUAGAGCUUGGUGCCCGUAGCUAACGUGAUAAAUCGACCGCCCGGGGAGUACGGCCGCAAGGUUA